rnacentral:rRNA from 1 species
GGUAGCUAUGUGUGGACGGGAUAAGUGCUGAAAGCAUCUAAGCAUGAAGCCCCCCUCAAGAUGAGAUUUCCCAACUUCGGUUAUAAGAUCCCUCAAAGAUGAUGAGGUUAAUAGGUUCGAGGUGGAAGCAUGGUGACAUGUGGAGCUGACGAAUACUAAUCGAUCGAAGACUUAAUCAAAA